rnacentral:rRNA from 1 species
AUGAACGCUGGCGGCGUGCCUAAUACAUGCAAGUCGAGCGAACGGACGAGAAGCUUGCUUCUCUGAUGUUAGCGGCGGACGGGUGAGUAACACGUGGAUAACCUACCUAUAAGACUGGGAUAACUUCGGGAAACCGGAGCUAAUACCGGAUAAUAUUUUGAACCGCAUGGUUCAAAAGUGAAAGACGGUCUUGCUGUCACUUAUAGAUGGAUUCGCGCUGCAUUAGCUAGUUGGUAAGGUAACGGCUUACCAAGGCAACGAUGCAUAGCCGACCUGAGAGGGUGAUCGGCCACACUGGAACUGAGACACGGUCCAGACUCCUACGGGAGGCAGCAGUAGGGAAUCUUCCGCAAUGGGCGAAAGCCUGACGGAGCAACGCCGCGUGAGUGAUGAAGGUCUUCGGAUCGUAAAACUCUGUUAUUAGGGAAGAACAUAUGUGUAAGUAACUGUGCACAUCUUGACGGUACCUAAUCAGAAAGCCACGGCUAACUACGUG